UUCAAGAUGGCCGCUUGGCUCACAUUCAUUUUCUGCUGAACGACUUUUAACUUUCAUUGUCUUUUCCGCCCGCUGCGAUCGCCUCUCGCCGGCUGCUUUUUCCGGGAUCUUUUAUCAAGCAGAAAUGCAUCGAACAACCAGAAUCAAGAUCACUGAGCUAAAUCCCCACCUAAUGUGUGUGCUUUGUGGAGGGUACUUCAUUGAUGCCACAACCAUAAUAGAACGUCUACAUUCCUUCUGUAAAACAUGUAUUGUGCGUUAUCUGGAGACCAGCAAGUAUUGUCCUAUCUGUGAUGUCCAAGUUCACAAAACCAGACCACUACUGAAUAUAAGGUCAGAUAAAACUCUUCAAGAUAUUGUAUACAAAUUAGUUCCAGGGCUUUUCAAAAAUGAAAUGAAGAGAGGAAGGGAUUUUUAUGCAGCUCAUCCUUCAGCUGAUGCUGCCAACGGCUCUAAUGAAGAUAGAGGAGAAGUUGCAGAUGAAGAUAAGAGAAUUAUAACUGAUGAUGAGAUAAUAAGCUUAUCCAUUGACUUCUUUGACCAGAGCAGAUUGGAUCGGAAAGUAAACAAAGACAAAGAAAAGUCUAAGGAGGAGGUGAAUGAUAAAAGAUAUUUAUGGUGCCCAGCAGCAAUGACUGUGAUGCACUUAAGAAAGUUUCUCAGAAGCAAAAUGGACAUACCUAAUACUUUCCAGAUUGAUGUCAUGUAUGAAGAGGAACCUUUAAAGGAUUACUAUACACUCAUGGAUAUUGCUUACAGUUAUACCUGGAGAAGGAACGGCCCACUUCCUUUGAAAUACAGAGUUCGACCUACUUGUAAAAGAAUGAAGAUCCGUCACCAGAGAGAUGGACUGACAAAUGCUGGAGAACUGGAAAGUGACUCUGGGAGUGACAAGGCCAACAGCCCAGCAGGAGGUAUUCCCUCCACCUCUUCUUGUUUGCCUAGUCCGUACUCCAGUGCAGUCUCCUCAUCCACAGUUUCCUCACAUUUCCAGUACUAUGAAUGGAACCAGCAACAGCCCCAGCGGUAACCACCAACCUUCCUUUGUCAACAGACCUCGAAAAUCAUCAGUAAAUGGGUCGUCAGCAACAUCGUCUGGUUGAUACCUGGGACUGUUAAGGAAAAAAAUUUUAAACCCCUGACUUAUAUAGAUAUCUUCAUGCCAUUACAGCUUUAUACAUGCUAAUACAUGUGACUAUCGUCCAACUUGCUUUCUUUUGUAGUGACAUUGAAUUUGACUAUAAAAGAUGGACUAGAUGUGAUGUUCAUAUGGAUGUUAACUGAAAAGAAAGAUUGUUCCUAGAAAGAAUUGGUUUCUGGGAAGGCAGGCAAGGUUUUUUCUGUGUGUUAGGAAAGAUGUGAAAUGGUUUCUGUAACCAUUGUCUGGGUUUGGAAAUAUCCUGCAGUGGAUAUGAGUAAUGGGCCAUAGUUUGUUAAUCUCAACUAACUCCUACGUUACAUUCUCCUUGAUUGUUCUUGUUAUUAUGCUGUUUUGUGAACCUGUAGAAAACAAGUGCUUUUUAUCUUGAAAUUCAACAAAUGGAAAGAAUAUGCAUAGAAUAAUGCAUUCUAUGUAGCCAUGUCACUGUGAAUAACGAUUUCUUGCAUAUUUAGCCAUUUUGAUUCCUGUUUGAUUUUUACUUCUCUAUUGCUACGCAAAACCGAUCAAAGGAAAGUAAACUUAAGUUUUACAAUCUGUAUGCCUACAAGCGGGUACUACCGUUUAUUUUACUAACUUGUUUAAAUGAUUCGCUUUUGUAAGAAUCAGAUGGCAUUAUGCUUGUUGUACAAUGCCAUAUUGGUAUAUGACAUAACAGGAAACAGUAUUGUAUGAUAUAUUUAUAAAUACUAUAAAGAAAAUAUUGUGUUUCAUGAAUCCAGAAAUGGUUGUUAAAGUUCUCCAAACUGGUUCGACCUUUGCAGAUACCCAUACCCUAUGUUGAGCCUUGCUUAUCAGCACAGAAUAUUUUUAAUGUGGAUAUCUAAUUCCAAAUUCUGUUUCAUUGGAAGCAAUUGGCAAAUCAUAAGACUGACUUUUCUCCAAUAAUGUUUACUUUUUAAACUGUUGCAGUCAAGAAAAACUUUUAACUAAGGAAUAUGGAGAUAGUCUCCUAAUUUUCCAUUGGCUGUGAUGGAAUGAGUGUGUUUUUAAAAUGCAUAUUGAGCACUGUAAUUCUAAAACAAAAUUUUAAACCAGCAAACUGCUGGAAGAAGGCAUUUUAUCUAAAGUUAUUUUGAUAUGUGGUAUAGCAGUCAUUUCAAACUUAAGAGUUGCUUUAACAGUUAAUAGUGGAAUAUGCCUUCUCUGGAAUGUCUGGAAAUAGCAAUUUAUUGGGUUUCUACAGGUAUUUUUAAAUAGAGCAAGCAUGUUGAAUUUAAAAUAUCAAUAACCCCAACAAUUUUCAGUUUGUGUUUUGCUUUGGUCGAACUUGGUGUGUGUUCAUCACCCAUCAGUUAUUUGUGAGGGUGUUCAUUCUAUAAGAAUAUUGUUUCAUGUUUGUAUGGGAAAAUUGUAGCUAAACAUUUCAUUGUCCCCAAUCUGCAAAAGAAGCACAAUUCUAUUGCUUUGUCUUGCUUAUAGUCAUUAAAUCAUUACUUUUACAUAUAUUGCUGUUACUUCUGCUUUCUUUAAAGAUGCAGUAAAUGACAUUUUAUGAAGCCACAAAAUACAUAUAUUUUUAUUUUGACCUAAAUUUGUACAGUCCCAUUGUAAGUGUUGUUUCUAAUUAUAGAUGUAAAAUGAAAUUUCAUUUGUAAUUGGAAAAAAUCCAAUAAAAAGGAUAUUCAUUUAGAAAAUAGUUAAGAUCUUUAAUAAAAAUUUGAUAUGAAAAGCACAAGGUGCAGAAGUUUGGAAACCCUAUAGUGGAUUACAACAAGUAAAUGCUAAAGAGAAUACGUUGCUGUCUUAUAGUGAUGUUGCUAAGAAGUACAUGCUUUGUUGUAUAAUUGCUUGAAAGCCCAUUGAAAGAUGUAUCUGUUUGUUUACAAUCUUUGAAGUAAAAGUUACCAAUGUUUGCCAAAAAAAAAAAAAAA